rnacentral:rRNA from 1 species
GUCAGCGGUAUUCCUGGGGUAGGGGCGAAAUCCAUUGAUCCCAGGAGGACCACCAGUGGCGAAGGCUGCUGACCAGAACACGCCUGACGGUGAGGGACAAAAGCUGGGGUAGCGAAUCGGAUUAGAUACCCGAGUAGUCCCAGCCGUAAACGAUGCAGGCUAGGUGUUGGGAUGGCCACGCGCCGCCCCAGUGCCACAGGGAAGCCAUUAAGCCUGCCGCCUGGGGAGUACGGCCGCAAGGCUGAAACUUAAAGGAAUUGGCGGGGGAGCACCACCAGGCGUGAAGCCUGCGGCUUAAUUGGAGUCAACGCCGGGAACCUUACCGGGAGCGACAGCAGAGUGAAGGCCAGGUUGAAGGUCUUGCCGGACGAGCUGAGAGGAGGUGCAUGGCCGUCGCCAGUUCGUGCCGUGAGGUGUCCUCUUAAGUGAGGUAACGAACGAGACCCGCGCCCCAUGUUGCCAGCAAAUCCUAAAGGGAUGUUGGGCACUCUUGGGGGACCGCAGCCGACAAGGCUGAGGAAGGUGCGG